CAGCCACUGUCAUUCCAAUCACCG
rnacentral:siRNA from 1 species